AAUGAACGCUAGCGAUAGGCUUAACACAUGCAAGUUGAACGCAUACAGUUGUAUGAGUGGCAAACGGGUGAGUAACGCGUGAGAUAUCUACCUUACAGCCCGGUACAACUCUUUAAAAAGACCAAUCCCGGAUAUCUCUCUUUUUGAAAAGAAAGGGGUUAAAGGCAAAGAACCGCUGUAAGAUGAGCUUGCGUAGGAUUAGGUAGUUGGUAAGAUAAAAGCUUAUCCAAGCCGAUGAUCCUUAGCUGGUCUGAGAGGAUGAUCAGCCACACUGGGACUGAGACACGGCCCAGACGCUUUCGAGCGGCAGCAGUGAGGAAUUUUGGACAAUGGGCGAAAGCCUGAUCCAGCUAUAUCGCAUGAAUGAAGAAGGCUCAAUUGGUUGUAAAGUUCAUACUUUCAUUGUAGAUUAUGACAUUGAUGAAAGAAAUAGUCCCGGCCAACUCCGUGCCAGCCGCCGCAGUAAAAC
rnacentral:rRNA from 1 species